CCCCCAGCCCCCUUCCCCAGCACUGCUGCUGGGCAGCUUGAGACUCCCCUUCCCCCCUCAGGGUGGCACUUGGCUUUGACCUUGGUGACAGUCAGGUUGUGACUACCCUAUCCUUCCUGCUAGCAAAAUAUGCACCUCUCUGUGAUGUGAGGCAAACAGAAGACCUUCUAAAUUGAGACCUGGGCACCUGAAAAGGGAUAAACUAAGGAAUUCUCAAUGGAGUUUUCUUUCAAAAGAAUAUUGGAAAUGCAUCUCACCUUCAAAGUUCUAAUAAAUUAUUUUAGAUGUUAA